UGUCAUCUGCUUUUACUAAUACAUCCUGUAUUUACUUCGUGCAUUCCGUUUUUACUAAUUCAGUCCGUUUUUACUUCAUGCAGUCCAUUUUUACUUCACGCAAUCAAUUUUUAUAAACAAAUAUCUCAAAUAUAAAUAAAUAUCCCGAAAAUUGUAAAUAAAUAUCCACAAAAAUAAAUAAAAAAUCCCAAAAAUUAUAAAUAAAAGUAUUCCAUAUAUAAAUAAAUAUCUAAAAAAAAAUCCUACAAAUAAAAAAAAUUAUUCAAAAUAUUCUAAAAUAAAUAUUCCAAAAAUUAUAAAUAAAAAUAUCUUUCGUUUCAUC
rnacentral:lncRNA from 1 species